UGCUUCCAUCUGGAAGAAUCUGGAGGACAGGUGCUGCAUGGCUGUCGUCAGCUCGUGUCGUGAGAUGUUCGGGUUAAGUCCCGCAACGAGCGCAACCCUUGCCUUAGUUGCCAGCAGUUCGGCUGGGCACUCUAAAGGGACUGCCGGUGUUAAACCGGGAGGAAGGUGGGGAGUGACGUCAAGUCCUCAUGGCCUUUAUGACCAGGGCUACACACGUACUACAAUGGCCGAUACAAAGGGCAGCGACACUGCGAGGUGAAGCCAAUCCCGUAAAAUCGGUCUCAGUCCGGAUUGGAGUCUGCAACUCGACUCCAUGAAGUUGGAAUCGCUAGUAAUCGUGGAUCAGCAUGCCACGGUGAAUACGUUCCCGGGCCUU
rnacentral:rRNA from 1 species